rnacentral:lncRNA from 10 species
GAGCUCUGUACUCUUCCUCUUCUUAUAAGGACACUAAUCUCAUGAUGGGGGCCCCACCCUCAUGACCUUAUCUAAACCUACGAUUUGUUAGAUAACUCUGUAUGUUCAUGAUAAAGUUUGUGUUUUUGAUUUUGAAUCUAUUUGGUGAAAUGAAGUGGGGAGUUCCACAACUAUUUGGUGAAUCUUGAUUAAGUCAAUCUACUCUUCACACCCACUAGGUUGGCUAUAAUAUAAAAGACAGACAUAACAAGUGUUGGUGAGGAUGUGGAGAAAUUGGGACCCCUGCAUAUUGCUGGUGGGAAGGUAAAAUUGUACAACCACUUUGGAAAACAGUUUGGCAGUUCCUCAUAAUGUUAAACAUAGAGUUACAUAAGUUAACAGAGUUAAAUAUAUGACCCAGCAACUCCACUCCUACAUAUCCACCCAAGAGAAAUGAAAACAUGCUCACAUAAACACUUGUACACAAAUGUUCAAAGAAACAUUAUUCACAAUAGCCAAAAAGUAGAAAUGAUGUAAAUGUCCAUCAGUUAGAGAAUAAAUAGACAAAAUGUACUAUAGCCAUUAGUUAAAUGGAAUGUUAUUUAGCAAUAAAGAGGAAUUUUUUAUUGAUACAUGUUACAUGCCACAAUAGGGAUGAACCUCAGAAACAUUAUGCUAAGUGAAAGAAGCCAGUCAAGAAAGACCACAUAGUGUAUGUUCUCAUUGAUAUAAAAUAUUCGAAAAAAGAAGAAUUUAGAGACAGAAAGUAGAUUACUGGUAUUGUGGGAGUGAGGAAGGAAGGAGGUGGUAAGGAGAAAGGGGAAUGGAGAGUGACUGACAGUGGGUCCAAGGUUUCUUAAAAUUGGGUUAUGAUUAUGGUUUCACAAGUCUGUAAUAUAUCAAAAACCACUGAACUGUAUACUGUAAAGUAGUGUACUUAAAUUAUAUAUUAAUAUAUAAUGAUAUAUAAUUAUGUAAUUAAAGGAGUGUAUGUAAAUUAUAUUUCAAUAAACAUGUUUUUAAAAAGAGAAAGUGUCCAUCCAUGUGUCCGAGC